AUUUAUAUAGUUUAUUUAUAAAAACAUUAUAUUUUCAAUAUAAAAUAAACUUUUAGUUUAUAAAUU
rnacentral:tRNA from 1 species